rnacentral:rRNA from 1 species
UACGUAGGGUGCGAGCGUUGUCCGGAAUCAUUGGGCGUAAAGAGCUCGUAGGCGGUCUGUCGCGUCUGCUGUAAAAACCUGGGGCUUAACCCUGGGCUUGCAGUGGGUACGGGCAGACUAGAGUGCGGUAGGGGAGACUGGAAUUCCUGGUGUAGCGGUGAAAUGCGCAGAUAUCAGGAGGAACACCGGUGGCGAAGGCGGGUCUCUGGGCCGUAACUGACGCUGAGGAGCGAAAGCAUGGGUAGCGAACAGG